rnacentral:tRNA from 1 species
GUUGGUGGCUCAGCGGUAGAAUUCUCGCCUUCCAUGUGGGAGACCUGGGUUUGACUCCCAGCCAGUGCA